GUGGGGAAUAUUGGACAAUGGGGGGAACCCUGAUCCAGCCAUGCCGCGUGUGUGAAGAAGGCCUUUUGGUUGUAAAGCACUUUAAGCGAGGAGGAGGCUACCGAGAUUAAUACUCUUGGAUAGUGGACGUUACUCGCAGAAUAAGCACCGGCUAACUCUGUGCCAGCAGCCGCGGUAAUACAGAGGGUGCAAGCGUUAAUCGGAUUUACUGGGCGUAAAGCGCGCGUAGGUGUCCAAUUAAGUCAAAUGUGAAAUCCACGAGCUUAACUUGGGAAUUGCAUUCGAUACUGGUUGGCUAGAGUAUGGGAGAGGAUGGUAGAAUUCCAGGUGUAGCGGUGAAAUGCGUAGAGAUCUGGAGGAAUACCGAUGGCGAAGGCAGCCAUCUGGCCUAAUACUGACACUGAGGUGCGAAAGCAUGGGGAGCAAACAGGAUUAGAUACCCGUGUAGUCC
rnacentral:rRNA from 1 species